UUUCAUUUACCAGGCAGUGAGAAAGCUUUUCCCUGCCAUUAAAUACUCUUUCAUAAUAUGAAUUUUGGUGUCUGUGUAACAUUUUAUCGUGUGGGUGUAACUACUAUCAUUGUCUCAGAAUUAUAAACCAUACCACUGUGAACAUACUUGGUACAUAAGUCAUUCAACAAAUGUUCUUAUUUCCUUAGCAGGGAGUUCCUAGGUCAAAGGACAUGAAUACUUUGAGAAUUUUUGCUACUUACUGCCAAAAUAGCCUUAUUUAUAGGUUUUUUCCUUUUUCUUUGGUCAGUUACCCAUUUGUGUUCUUCACCCUUUGUGAUUGUGUUGGUUAAAAUGCAGCUAUUUUAACAAAUUGCUAUUGCAUGCUGAAGAUUCUCGAGUCCCUGCCAGGCGGUGAGGUCCUGAGGUUGUGUUUGCAAUGUCUGGGUGGACUUCGUUUUUGUUGGAGGAUCUUGAGUGCCUUUUGGGGAUCUCUCCAGCAGGACUGCCUGAGGGAAUCGUAGUGGGGUUAGAGAACAAGGCAGCCAUUAGGGGCAGGGCCUGGCUGUGGCCGGGAGUCCAGCUCUGGCCUGGGCUCUGUCCCCAUGUCGGCAGCGGGAGCUUUUGUGGACCCAACCAUCCGGAGGUCACAGUCAGCUUCCAUGUGAAGGUUUGCAGUCCGUUCAGAAUUCAAGAGCGAACCCUCCAGACUGCUGGGAGAUGUGCCUGAGGAGGGCAAUGGUCUGCGGGGGGUCCCCCGUCCUCCUCCCGAUCCCCAUUCCCUAGCUAGAGCUUGUAUAAUAGAAGAAGGAAAUGCAGGAUGUGGAAGCUCUGGUGGCCCCCAGGUGGGUGGGACUUGACAGGUUACCGGCUCUUCCUCUUUCUGUUUCUCUUUCUUGUCCUCUCCAUGCCCGAGAUGCUCACGUUUUGUGGGGUGGGAGAGUGGCCAGCACAUUGACAAGCCUGGUUCCCCAGCUGGCCCUGCACCAUAGAGCAGCCGCACGUGUUGGAGAGAGCAGCUGAUGGGCGUCCCAGAGAUGGGGUGAUGAUUAUGAUGAAGAAGGUGAAGAAGCAGAUGAGGAAGGGGAAGAAGGAGGAGAUGAGGAAAAUGAUCCAGACUAUGACCCAAAGAAGGAUCAAAACCCAACAGAGUGCAAGCAGCAGUGAAGCAGGAUGGUCUACCUUCCGCUUCCCUGGAAAGGAUGAAUUUACAUCAUUUGACAAGCCUAUUUUCAAGUUAUUUGUUGUUUGUUUGCUUGUUUUUGUUUUUGCAGCC
rnacentral:lncRNA from 1 species